rnacentral:rRNA from 1 species
AAUCAACGCUGGCGGCGUGCCUCAGACAUGCAAGUCGAACGUGAAAGGCCUCUUCGGAAGCCGAGUAAAGUGGCGCACGGGUGAGUAACACGUGAGUAAUCUGCCUUCACGGUGGGGGAUACCAAUCGGAAACGGUUGUUAAUACCGCAUAAUGCAGCGGCAUCAUAAGAUGACAGUUGUUAAGCGGGGAGGCGAAGACAAUUCGUCCUCGCGCUGGAAGGAGGAGCUCGCGGCAGAUUAGGUAGUUGGUGGAGGUAACGGACUCACCAAGCCUGCGAUCUGUAACCGGCCUGAGAGGGCGGUCGGUCACACUGACACUUAGA